GGGGAAUAUUGCACAAUGGGGGAAACCCUGAUGCAGCCAUGCCGCGUGUGUGAAGAAGGCCUUCGGGUUGUAAAGCACUUUCAGCGAGGAGGAAAGGUUGGCGCCUAAUACGUGUCAACUGUGACGUUACUCGCAGAAGAAGCACCGGCUAACUCCGUGCCAGCAGCCGCGGUAAUACGGAGGGUGCAAGCGUUAAUCGGAAUUACUGGGCGUAAAGCGCACGCAGGCGGUUGGAUAAGUUAGAUGUGAAAGCCCCGGGCUCAACCUGGGAAUUGCAUUUAAAACUGUCCAGCUAGAGUCUUGUAGAGGGGGGUAGAAUUCCAGGUGUAGCGGUGAA
rnacentral:rRNA from 1 species